rnacentral:rRNA from 1 species
GUCGGUAAAACUCGUGCCAGCCACCGCGGUUAUACGAGAGACCCUAGUUGAUAUAUUCGGCGUAAAGAGUGGUUAUGGAAAACAAGCACUAAAGCCAAAGAGCCCUCAGGCCGUUAUACGCACCCGGGGCCUCGAACCACUAUCACGAAAGUAGCUUUACCCUCGCCCACCAGAACCCACGAGAGCUGGGACACAAACUGGGAUUAGAUACCCCACUAUG